GACGGAGGAUGCAAGUGUUAUCCGGAAUCACUGGGCGUAAAGCGUCUGUAGGUGGUUUAAUAAGUCAACUGUUAAAAUCUUGAGGCUCAACCUCAAAAAUCGCAGUCGAAACUAUUAGGCUAGAGUAUAGUAGGGGUAAAGGGAAUUUCCAGUGGAGCGGUGAAAUGCGUAGAGAUUGGAAAGAACACCGAUGGCGAAGGCACUUUACUGGGCUAUUACUAACACUCAGAGACGAAAGCUAGGGUAGGCAAAGUGGG
rnacentral:rRNA from 1 species